AGAAGUCAAAUGUUUCGGGACAUCUUUAGAACAUUCGUGCUGUGAAUAUAUUAGCCACUGAUCUUCCUUCCUUGAUUUUCUAUAUAUUGCCAUGACGGCUUCACCUCAGGAAUUCAGACCAUAGUGGCAACAUAUUUUUUAUGUGCAACACCCCUCAUAUCCUUCUCCCCCCCAAAAAAAUACAAAGUUUGGAAAGAAAAUAAGAACAGCCUGAACGCUCAGAAAAAUGGCAACAACCUCUGGGCUUUGGAAGAAUGACAUAUAGGACUAAUGUUCAAAAUUCACAUGCGACUAUCAGUGGUGCCUAAUAGACAAAUGUCAUUAGGAGCCAUAAAUAUGCUGUUUUAAUUACUUCAGCUGAAAAGAUUGCUGUAUGUGAUCUUAAAUCACAACAUGGUUAUCAGGAAGAUGUAAUUAAGAACAAUUCCAUUAACAGGAAAGGCGAAUUGUUCCACAAAAUGAAUAUGUUAGAAGGAACAUGACAAAUUGAGCCUGCAUGUAAAGGAAACUGUGCCUCUCUGGUCUGAUCCAGAUCUGGUCUGGCGGAGUUACACAUUGAGUAUUGAUGGUGGGGAAAUCAUCUUCAACUGGUUUUGAG